ACACGCUGUUAUUUUGUGUGUGCGUAUGGCCAAGGUACAGUGCGCUCUUUUGCAUUAUGACCAGCCAUCAGUAAAUCGAAAUACAGUAAAAAAACGAGCGCGAAACCCUGACACUUUACAGAAAGGCACGGAUAUCCCCGCCCGAAGAAAAAAAGAGCACAGGACAAUGGUUGCAAGUUAAACAGCUGAACAUUUCACCAUCUGCAAAGAACAUUUCACCAUCGACAUAUUAACAUAAACGGUUCUCUUUUUCGUGUUUGACUGCGUUUGGUACAGGUCACAACAACAACGGCAGAUGCAGAGACCACGCUUUCCCUUGCUUCCACUCCACGGCUGAUCAUGCUUGAGGAUCCAGAUCUACAAAACAAAAAAUGGAUGCUGCCGAUUGAAGGCUAAGUCCCCUUUCCUGUGAUUGACCUACCAUUUCUUCAGCAUUUGCUGUUCACUUUGGUUGCUACUACGUGCUCAACAUCGAGUACCAAGUGGAAGCAGCCACUACUUUGGAGUUUAUUCAGAGAUUUAUUGUGAGGAUCAGCCCCGACAACAGCAAGUGCUCCUCUAAGUUCCAGGUGAGCAAAAGAAGUGGGAAGAUGGUGCAAAGGAAGAACUCUGGCCUGAACCAUCAUGUAUAUAUCCACCUUUAUUCAGGACUUUAUGUAUUAAGCAAAACUAUUAAGCUACUAAAGCAAAUACAUUCUACUCAACUCACCAGAGGUUUGUGAAGUUCUUUUUUAUCUUAAAGGUUUCUUUUAGUUAAUUUGUCCAUGCACUGAUUUAUAAUAU